rnacentral:lncRNA from 1 species
AUGAUAUUUCAAAUAUUUGAAAUAAUUUGUGGCUUUGAUUCAUUUGGGCCCAUCAGGAUGUAGACUGUGAUGAACAUGACAUGUUUGCAUCACAUGAUACAUAUUUAGCUCUAGGAACUGCUCGUUGCAAAUUGUUUUAUCAACCUUGAUGUCUGAUUAUAUUAUUUUACAUCCUAUUGCAAGUUGACUAUUUGAAGAAAAAAAAUAAUAACCAAAUGUUUAAGCAUUCAAGAAUGAUUUAAAAAAGAACGGUUCAAAAUUAAGAAGAAAAAAUUGACUUGUUUUUUACAUGAAGAUAAUGAAUUCAUCGCACAAUUAGUAUCUAUAAAAAA